rnacentral:rRNA from 1 species
GAUGAACGCUGGCGGCGUGCCUAAUACAUGCGAGUCGAGCGAACGGACGAGAAGCUUGCUUCUCUGAUGUUAGCGGCGGACGGGUGAGUAACACGUGGAUAACCUACCUAUAAGACUGGGAUAACUUCGGGAAACCGUAGCUAAUACCGGAUAAUAUUUUGAACCGCAUGGUUCAAAAGUGAAAGACGGUCUUGCUGUCACUUAUAGAUGGAUCCGCGCUGCAUUAGCUAGUUGGUAAGGUAACGGCUUACCAAGGCAACGAUGCAUAGCCGACCUGAGAGGGUGAUCGGCCACACUGGAACUGAGACACGGUCCAGACUCCUACGGGAGGCAGCAAUAGGGAAUCUUCCGCAAUGGGCGAAAGCCUGACGGAGCAACGCCGCGUGAGUGAUGAAGGUCUUCGGAUCGUAAAACUCUGUUAUUAGGGAAGAACAUAUGUGUAAGUAACUGUGCACAUCUUGACGGUACCUAAUCAGAAAGCCACGGCUAACUACGUG